rnacentral:lncRNA from 1 species
CGGCCACCGUCGCCGCGGAGGUGGAGGAGGAGGUCAGUGGGCGUGUCCAUGACCAGGGCAACGACAUGUGCGACAUCAAGUGUCAACACGGGCAACAUCUCGCAUGGAGACGACGGUGCGUGAACGAGUGCCACAGACAAAAGCUUCAUCAUUCUCGCAGAGCUUUCUGCGAAAUGAAGUGCCAAGAUCACUACCACGACCCGUCAAGGAUGAAGCUGUGCGUGCACCAGUGCAUGAGCUAUGGCCUCAACCUCCAUGCGAAUAGCAACAACGGCGUCGACCGCCACCCCCACGCAUUGGAGGUGGAGGUCGGCUGGCGUGCCGAUGCCCAAAGCAACGACAUGUGCGACAUCAAGUGCCAGCACUGGCAAGACCCUGCCGGGAGACGACGGUGCGUGAACGAGUGCCACAGCCGGGAGCAUCAUCAUCCUAGCAGAGCUUUCUGCGAGAUGAAAUGUCAACAUCACUACCAUGACCCGUCAAGGAUGGAAUUGUGCGUGCACCAGUGCAUGAGCUAUGGCCUCAAUCUCCAUGUAGGCGGCAACAACGGCGUCGAUGAGCAUCCCACCGGCUGAUUAACGGUGGGCGGAGCUAUCGUUGAGGUCGUGUGACGCUCGCCGCAUCGCGCACCUAAUAAUUAUAAUAAAAUAAUAAGGGUUGCGCUUCAAUACAUCCUCCUUAAAUAAACUUUUAAAAAGGCAUUUUUUGAUCUAUAUAGGUCACAAGAUUAAUCCUGUAAUAAAUACCAAAAAUCUGAAGAUUAAAAUCUGCUAGUAAUAAUUUGUUGUGUAUUAAUUAGAGCA